UACAGGGUCAUGCCUACAAAACACUUGUGUGAUCUGGGGAAACAAACUCAUUUCCACAUUAGAAGUUCAACUUACUGGGGUGCUUCUCUCAGCCCCUUCUGAAGCUGCGGUGGAGAGCAGCCAUGCAGGAAGGCCCCGGUGCCCUAUUUCGGUGUGAACUGUGUCUCCCAUCCCCACAUUUCCAGCAUCCUGAAUUUCCAUAUGGGACUUCUGUUUGAAGAAAGAAUCUCGUUGGAUUAGGUGAGAAAAGGAGAAGGAGAAGAAGACGAUGAUGAGGAAGAAGAAAAAAAACUACAACAAAAUUUCAAAACACAUUAAUCAGGCGGCAACAAUGUUGUUCACUAGAACAUUAUUUAUGAUGCCAAAAAGUAUGAAACAAACUGAAUGGCCAACCAUGAAGCAAUGAUCAGGAACAUAAAGGAGCCAUUUCCGAGGUGGAGUCUGGACUGAUUUGCACUGGAACAUCUCCAUGGCAAAGGGUUGAAAAUUCAAGGAGAAAAAUCCGAGGGGAGAGAUGAUGACAACAAUGAUGAGGAUGGUGAUAAAAAGGCCAAUUAGAGAGUAGAAAGGGGACAUACAGGAAAGGUUUGAAAGGCCUGGAGGACUUCUUGGGCUGAAGAGAACUCGCCUGGCAGCUUCAUCAGCCGUCUUUAGGCACACAGUCCGUCAGCGACUGGCUUGUCACUCCAUCUCCUCUGUCUCCCUAACUGGUUUCCUCAAAAUAUUCUCUUCAAAGAAAGCAGACACCUGCAGGAUGUGACGCUGGUGUAGCAGAAGAGCACGCUGGUUAUGGAGGACACAGCAGUGGUGAGAACCUACAGCCUCCACCCACACCUGUCUGUAGGUCCCUCACACAGUCCCCAAACCUGGGCACUAUUCUGUGAUCAGACACUUGCUCCAGAUUACUAGUUAGAAACAACCUACAAAUGGAUUUAUUUACAUUAACAGUCUCACACGAAAAUAAAGCAUGCCCCCCCCUUUUAAUUUGUGUUUUGCAGCACUGGGAUGGAACCCAGGGUCUCAUGUAUGCUGGGCAAGUGCUCUAUCACUGAGUACACUCCCUAAAAUGUGACUUUUAGAGGCAAAAUCUUCCUGCAGGAAAAAUAAACUUCCUCAGAGUCCAAAUUGGUUUAUGUGUCUAGGUUCAUUAGAAAAGUGUUGACUAAAGAAGCAGGCACACCAAUGUUUGCUCUUCAAAUAAUGAGCAGGGAUACAGCAGGUCUUUUCUUAGAGUCUGCUCUUAGCCGUCAAGACGUGCCCCACUCUUACUCUUCUGUGGCACUCUGUACCAGAAUUAAAGAGCGUAAGACAGACACUGUUGUCUUUCUAGCAGCCUACAUGCAGAAUGACGCCCACAGUUCCAACAGACACGUCACACAGGCCAUGUGUAAGUGUGUGUGCUCAGCAGGGAUAUCCACAAAGCCUCUGCAGGACAAACCUGCAGCAGAGAAUGAAAGGGAAUAAAGGGUAGCUGAGAUUCUCUGACCUCCAUUAGAGCCGAGGAGAAAGAUGCAAGUGAGAGAAAUCCUUGUUUUAGGGUUCCUUGUCUGCAUCAUGGGGGCAAAGCGCAUGGAGGAAAGCAAGAACAGAUAAACACACCAAGACCUUUAAUGUCUAUUUUAAAUUUUUUCUCUCUAUUGUAUCCUUCAUGGGAGCAGCAGAAGACUCGUUCUUUCUAAGUAAUCACAUUUGGCUUUUACUUCUUUUCCUCAUUUGCCAAUGAAGGCUCCGACUCACAGUAAUGAGGUAACUGAGAGUGAGACAGAGCAGGGAGCAAUAAGAAAAAGGCAGAGGCCAACAUAAAGCAGGUCCAGAGUUGUCAGACCCUAAAUGGGUGAGCUGGCAGGGUUUCCUGGGUCAGCCGUCUGCAGCUGCUACCUACAGUACAUGCUGAGCACCUUCUGCUCAAAGGAGUCAAAACAAAUGUUGAUUAUUUUGCUAUAUGUAACUAUCACUGUUCUUUUCUUAAACAGAACUGCCCCUGAGAAUUCACACAAGUCCCAAUGUAGAGGCCACAAAUGCUUGCUCUCAUAAAGGAUCUGUGAGUACAGAAGCAACAGAUCAGAUGUCCCUCCUUCCCCACACCCCCUGGGGACCCACACCGCCCACGUGGAGUCUGGAGAACUAGGUCUAGCUGAGCUGCCGUUCUGUGUGGUGACUGCCAGAGGGAAAAAUGCCUCCCUCAGCUCAGUCCCACUGUCCUGAGAGAGCUGGCAAAGUCACUGAGACUUGCUUUCUUUUCUCCACAGCUGGACCAAACCAACCACUGGGGUUUUUCAUGUUGUCACAGGAUCAUAAUUAAUCAGCAGACACAGGCAAAAUACAUGACUUUGGAAUUUACUUGUAAAGAAAACUGUGAAAUUUUCAAACGCUUCUCAUUUAGGAGUGAUCACUUCAAAAAUAACUCCUGAUGGAUGUUUAAACUUAGUCCUAUAUUUGCUCACCUUGCUUGGCAAAAACAAGACUGUUUUUGAAACGCUUGGUAGCUCUGGUUUAUGAAAAUCAGCCUACAGGUCCAUCAAUUCUGUCAUCUUGGUCACAAACCAAACAAUUGUGAUCCUGGUUAUUUACCAGGAAUGAAUGGAAAGUGAUCUGUUUACGCAGGACAACUGGAAAGGGAGGUGACUUAGAAGAAUCUGGUGAAAAUAAGCAAGUAGAAGAGAGAGAGCUACAUAAAUGAAUAACAGGUCAGAGAAGUCAAGGGAAAAAUGGGACCGGGAAAGAGAGAGAGGAGACAAGCCAGGGCAAGAGGAGGAAAGUUUUUAACUAAAUCUAUGAAACAGGCUGGUGUUUUAAAAAAUAUUUUUCUUUCAGAAAAUAAAUUAAAAUAUUUGAAUAUCCAACCACCUCAUAUGACAUUUAAAGUAUUAGGUUCAAGAAAAACGCGGCCAUCCUUUGGUGUGAGGUCCAGGCCGGAGGCCAGGCUUCUGGAACUAGGAUGCGCGGUCAGUCCUCAUGCUCACAGAAGCUCCUGGGAAGGGUCAUUUGUCCUUCAGCUCUAAAGGCGGCCAGAGGCAAGGCAAUGCCUUUCUUUUUCCCAGGCUGAAGUUCUGAUGCAGAUUCUGGGCUAGGGACAGGGGUGGGUGUAGGCCUGGGAUAAUUCGCAAACAGACUUUAACACAGAGAUCCCCAAAGCUGCCAGACCGCAGGGCAGUGGUGUUGAAUCUAUGGCCUGCCGAGCCAAGGUCUGACAAAUUAUAAGCACAGAUACAACAGGCAAGAUCAUGUUAACUGUGCAAAAGCACACCUCGUGCUAACAUUCACCUUUCAAUAAAAAGCUGUUUGUAUCACUGAAA